AUUGAACGCUGGCGGCAUGCCUUACACAUGCAAGUCGAACGGCAGCACGGGUGCUUGCACCUGGUGGCGAGUGGCGAACGGGUGAGUAAUACAUCGGAACGUACCUUAUCGUGGGGGAUAACGCAGCGAAAGCUGUGCUAAUACCGCAUACGCCCUGAGGGGGAAAGCGGGGGAUCGCAAGACCUCGCGCGAUUAGAGCGGCCGAGGCCGGAUUAGCUAGUUGGUGGGGUAAAAGCCCACCAAGGCGACGAGCAGUAGCUGGUCUGAGAGGACGAUCAGCCACACUGGGACUGAGACACGGCCCAGACUCCUACGGGAGGCAGCAGUGGGGAAUUUUGGACAAUGGGGGCAACCCUGAUCCAGCAAUGCCGCGUGAGUGAAGAAGGCCUUCGGGUUGUAAAGCUCUUUUGUCAGGGAAGAAACACCGGCUCUAACACAGUCCGGGAAUGACGGUACCUGAAGAAUAAGCACCGGCUAACUACGUGCCAGCAGCCGCGGUAA
rnacentral:rRNA from 1 species